ACAUCUGAAUCUUUCCCACUCCUUGCGAUAUAGUGCUGACUGGAGACAUGCAAUGCCACAGGAAAGCAGAGGAAAUCCAGACAAGCUCCCUUUCACCACAGUGGGACUUGUCUCUACGCCUUUGCAAUAUUU
rnacentral:snoRNA from 1 species